CUCACUGGAGACUCAGAGGGGAACAUUCUCACCUGGGGGCGGAGCCCUUCAGAUUCCAAGACCCCAGGCAGGGGUGGCGCCAAAGAGACCUAUGGGAUUGUGGCCCAGGCUCACGCUCAUGAAGGUUCUAUCUUCGCCUUGUGUCUCCGGAGGGACGGGACAGUGCUGAGUGGUGGCGGGCGGGACCGCCGGCUGGUACAGUGGGGGCCCGGGUUGGUGGCCCUCCAGGAGGCUGAGGUGAGGGCUGGGCUGGGGUCAAGGGAGCGAGGGAGAAGAGCAAUAGUCAGUGGGCUCUUGACAUUCUGCUACCACUCUGCAGAUUCCCGAGCACUUUGGGGCCGUGCGAGCCAUUGCUGAAGGGCUUGGCUCUGAGCUGCUGGUGGGAACCACGAAGAAUGCAUUGCUGAGGGGAGAUCUGGCCCAGGGCUUCUCUCCUGUAAUCCAGGUUGGGAGUUAAGGGCUC
rnacentral:sRNA from 1 species